AUCCAAAAAAUUUUGAAGAUCCGUUAAGUUUCAAUCCAGAUAGGUGGAAUGGAAAACCAAAGCCUUGGACAAACUUGAUCUUUGGAGGGGGACCAAGGAUAUGUCCAGGAAAUAUGCUUGGUCGAAUGCAAAUUGCCAUUUUCAUCCACCAUUUGGUCGUAGGGUACAGGUGGGAACUGGUCAAUGCUGAUGCAGGAAUGAGUUAUUUG